rnacentral:lncRNA from 1 species
AUCAAGCUGUGUAGACCCUUAGAAGCUUGUCAUGUGGUUAAAUCAAGAUUCACUUGCACGUUCACUCAUAUAUGCUACUUCUACUCCGGAAGUACCAUCCACAUAUAUCCAUUUCCAUCUCCAGAAUCACCUAAAAAUAUUCUACUCCUAAUCCGGGAGAGAAUAACCAAAAAUAUUUCUAUUUUUCCCUUGUGAAAUAAAUGCUCAAGUUAUCUUGUUACUACCACUUGCUAUACUAUCUCAAGAGAUGAGUGCUCUAAAAAAAGAAAGAGAAUAUACGAGGAAAUAAAAAGGGGCAAGUGCCCGGGACCUCAAAAGAAAAGAAAAAGUGAGACGAGAGGUAAAAAUAGACAAGUGUCCGACAAUAAAAUUAGGAGUACAAGAUACCCACCUGAGAGAAAAGAAAAAGAAGAGCAUCUCAUUCUCCUCAUAAAGUUUCAAAAAUCAAGAAAGGUAUGUAUCCCCUCAAAGAGCAAAGUAGAAUUAGACUUCCACCAUUGUUAUCACCAUCAUCACCAUACACCAUUCAUUCGCCACACAUGCACAUCUUGAUUUGGCUUAUUGAUUUGUUUCUUUGGAUCCAUGGUUUGACUAUGCAAUAAAUGUCUUGUAAGUAUGUAUACUUUAUCUCCCACCUAUGAGCUCCAGAUAUAAAAGCCUUAUUAGAGUAGGGUGAGAGAGAAGACAAUGCCACUAUGCUUCAUACCACAAAUACCACAUACAUUUUGAGAGAAGGCAUAUACCAUCACUGCCUUGGUAAGGAUCCAGAAAUACCAC